GACAGAGGCCUCAAGCGUUAGGCGGUAUCACUGGGCUUAAAGCGUGUGUAGGCGGGUCGUUAAGUGUCUUGUGAAAUCCCCCGGCUCAACCGGGGAAUGGCUGGGCAUACUGGCGAUCUUGAGCAGUCUAGGGGCAGAUGGAACAGACGGUGGAGCGGUGAAAUGCGUAGAUAUCGUCUGGAACGCCAAAGGUGAAGACAGUCUGCUGGGGACUUGCUGACGCUGAGACACGAAAGCCAGGGGAGCGAACGGG
rnacentral:rRNA from 1 species